GUUGAGGCACGAAAGUGUGGGGAGCAAAACAGGAUUAGAUACCCUGGUAGUCCACACUGUAAACGAUGGAUACUAGGUGUAGGGGGUAUUAAGCCUUCUGUGCCGUCGCUAACGCAGUAAGUAUCCCACCUGGGGAGUACGACCGCAAGGUUGAAACUCAAAGGAAUUGACGGGGGCCCGCACAAGCAGUGGAGUAUGUGGUUUAAUUCGAAGCAACGCGAAGAACCUUACCAGGGCUUGACAUAUACAGGAAUAAUCUAGAGAUAGGUUAGCUCUUCGGAGUCUGUAUACAGGUGGUGCAUGGUUGUCGUCAGCUCGUGUCGUGAGAUGUUGGGUUAAGUCCCGCAACGAGCGCAACCCCUGUUUCUAGUUGCCAGCACGUUAAGGUGGGAACUCUAGAGAGACUGCCGUUGAUAAAACGGAGGAAGGUGGGGACGACGUCAAAUCAUCAUGCCCUUUAUGUCCUGGGCUACACACGUACUACAAUGGCUAUAACAAAGGGAAGCGAAACAGCGAUGUGAAGCGAAACUCAAAAAAGUAGUCUCAGUUCGGAUUGUAGGCUGAAAUUCGCCCUACAUGAAGCCGGAACGCUAGUAAUGG
rnacentral:rRNA from 1 species